rnacentral:misc_RNA from 1 species
GAGAAAUUUCACUUAAACGUAAUGUCCAACAAGCUGUGAUUUGAAACUGGGAAAAUUCCAGCGAACAGCCGUCUUUUUAGUCAACAUGUUAUAACGCAGAAGAAAAUUAAUGAGCAGAAGCUCAAAAAAGGUAACUCUCAUAAAAGACACUCGUUAAUACAUUUUCACCACCUGCCAAAGCAACGGAGAAUGAGUCAAGAAAAAUAACUUCUAAUCGUCCUCCUCUUGGUCAAAAUCUUUAACCUUUACAUCAGCGUCCUCUCCAUACUGGAUGCAGUUGUCAAUCUGGGAUAAGAUGUACUGUAUGCUGCUCUCUUUUCUCAGGUCAAGAGGGAUAAAGCUCACCAUGCUGUACUGGUCCACCACUUCAAUCAAUGAUUUGUUAAGCUUUUGAAAUUGUGGAGCCAUUCGCUGAUUCAAUUCUGCCAGUAACAGAUGCGGCUCUGGAUUCAAGUAAUUCUCAACUUCCUUUUUGUUUGUCACAAGAUCCAUUUUUGAGAGUAUGUUAACAUGGGGUAGUUCAAGUUGAACCAUAGCAGAGAGUGAAGCCAUACAACCACUAAUGAAUUUGGUCACAUCUGUAAUAAACUGAGAAUCAAGUAAAUAUACCACACAAACAUUAAAAUUUGUACGCCUUAGGUGUUCCACGAAGUUCUUCAGCACAGGAACAUGUGAGAAAAGCUCAAUCUGGCCUGGGCAGUCAAAGACUAGGUAGUCAUCAUCCAAGUAGUUUUCCAACUCUUCUGUUAGCCACUCGUCCAAAUUUUCUUCAAGAUGUUCCAUGCAAUACAUAAGGCCACCAUUUGGUCCCAAACCAAGUUCUUCCAUAACAUCAUCCAGCGAGAUGAGCUCUCUGAUGUCCAUAGCCACUGGAUAGUCAAAAUUCUCUGCAGCAGGAUCUAGGUUCACA